GAUGAACGCUAGCGGCAGGCUUAAUACAUGCAAGUCGUGGGGCAGCAGGUCUGUAGCAAUACAGAUGCUGGCGACCGGCAAACGGGUGCGUAACACGUACGCAACCUUCCCGUUACUGUGGCAUAGCCCAGGGAAACUUGGAUUAAUACCACAUAUUAUAUUGAAGAGGCAUCUCUUUGGUAUCAAAGCUUCGGCGGUAACGGAUGGGCGCGCGGUUGAUUAGGUAGUUGGCGGGGUAACGGCCCACCAAGCCUACGAUCAAUAGCUGAUGUGAGAGCAUGAUCAGCCACACGGGCACUGAGACACGGGCCCGACUCCUACGGGAGGCAGCAGUAAGGAAUAUUGGGCAAUGGACGCAAGGCUGACCCAGCCAUGCCGCGUGAAGGAUUAAGGUCCUCUGGAUUGUAAACUUCUUUUCUCUGGGGCGAAACCAUCUAUUCUUAGGUGUUUGACAGUACCAGAGGAAUAAGCACCGGCUAACUCCGUGCCAGCAGCCGCAGUAAAAC
rnacentral:rRNA from 1 species